GGGGAUAUAACUCAGUGGUAGAGUGCUUGCUUUGCAUGCAAGAAGCCUCGGGUUUGAACCCCGAUAUCUCCA
rnacentral:tRNA from 1 species